GACGUAGGGCGCGAGCGUUGUCCGGAUUUAUUGGGCGUAAAGAGCGUGUAGGCGGCCAGGUAGGUCCGUUGUGAAAACUCGAGGCUCAACCUCGAGACAUCGGCGGAAACCCUCUGGCUAGAGUCCGGAAGAGGAGAGUGGAAUUCCUGGUGUAGCGGUGAAAUGCGCAGAUAUCAGGAAGAACACCCGUGGCGAAGGCGGCUCUCUGGGACGGUACUGACGCUGAGACGCGAAAGCGUGGGGAGCAAACAGG
rnacentral:rRNA from 1 species